AAUUCUCAACCUACCGGUCUUUGCGGAUCGGUAAGGCUUGGACUUGGAGGCUUGUCGGCCCGUGUGGUCGACUCCUCUCAAAUGCAUUAGCCUGGUUCCUUGCGGAUCGGCUCUCGGUGUGAUAAUUGUCUACGCCGCGACCGUGAAGCGUUUGGCUGGCUUCUAACCGUCUCGAUGGAGACAACUUUCUGACCU
rnacentral:misc_RNA from 1 species